UACGUAGGGGGCAAGCGUUAUCCGGAAUUAUUGGGCGUAAAGAGCUCGUAGGCGGUUUGUCGCGUCUGCUGUGAAAACUGGAGGCUCAACCUCCAGCCUGCAGUGGGUACGGGCAAACUAGAGUGCGGUAGGGGAGAUUGGAAUUCCUGGUGUAGCGGUGGAAUGCGCAGAUAUCAGGAGGAACACCGAUGGCGAAGGCAGAUCUCUGGGCCGUAACUGACGCUGAGGAGCGAAAGCAUGGGGAGCGAACAGG
rnacentral:rRNA from 1 species